CUGGGAUCGGAAUCAGCUUCCUAGCCCCAGCCACCUGCUCACGUGGUGAAGGCAGUUAGAGAGUGAACUUGCUGCUGGGAGGAGGGAUCCUCACCGAGCUGGGGUGUCCCAACAUCAUGGAGUUGCCACUAGACAGCACGGGUUUCUUCCUUGAGGGGAGCCCGCAGCCCACAGCAGGCAGGACCCCCAGGGGGGCGCCCGUGUCUGGCGGGAGAGGACACGGUCUCCUAGGCGCGCUGUAGAAGCUGACUGGAGAAGGCCCGCGACUCUGCUGAGGGUUAAAGAGGAAUCGGAAAGGGCCCGGGGUAGACGUGGGCGCCACAGGGUGAGCCGGGCCAGGCUGAGAGGACUCACGGGCUAUGGGAGCUUGUGGGCGACGGUCCGGCAGGGGCCUGCGGCGGGAACAGGGACAAAAUAUACUUAAUAAAUUGCCCAUUUAGAGCAAGUUGUGUGGGUACAAUGGCGAGAAAACGGUCAGUAAUGGAGACGCUGCUCCGUAGUCGCCCACUUCUCUUUCUCCAGGCGCGCACUGGACGGCUGAGCGAUUGUGAGGCCCCAGUGGGGCUGGUGACAGAACCAAGGCGCGCCGAAGCGCGCGGCAGCACCCCCGCCCUAGGGCGCCUACCAGAGGGGUAAAAGGGCAAAAGAGAGAGCCCCUCCCCCACCACGCCCGCCUCCGCCGGGCCCAGCAGGACUCUCUAACACCUGGGGACAUCCUGCUGCUGGGGGCAGAUCUUAUGCCCAAGAGAAGGACAUACUCUUGGGUGUCUGGACAAGGAAAACAUGCGUGAAAAAUCAACGAUUCUUCUUAGAUCCCUCAGGCAAGUGAAGUCAUGGAGCAAACCACGACCCCAUAAUUGGAGAGACAGAGUAAUACUAAAAAUCACAAGUUACAGCCUCAGAAACCCACAGGUAGAGACCUCCACAGGAAUAAGCAACUGGGUGGGGAAAGCAAAGUGCAACUGACAAAUUGCUUGAGGCCCAGUGUGAGCAAGGCUGAGAGUUAAAACUCUUAAGAGUUCCCAGUCAUAGAGAGGCCCCAUGAGCUGUAAAGCUUCAAUAGCUGUACUGGGUUCUGAAAGUGAAAAGGUGUGAAAAAUUGCAUUUCUCUAAUGAUUAGUAAUGUUGCAUUACUCUGGUGGUUAGUAAUUUUUUCAUUUUUGCUGGCCACUUGCAUGUCUUCUUUUGAGAAGUGUCUGUUAAUGUCUUUUGCCCAUUUCUUGAUGAGGCUAUUUGGUUUUUAAUUUUGUCUUGUUCAAUUGUUUACAUUCCUUAUAGAUUCUGGAUAUUAGGGCUUUGUCAGAUGCUUAGUUUGCAAAUAUUUUCUCCCAUUCUGUAGGUUGUCUGUUUGCUCUGUUGAUAGUUCUUUUACUGUGCAUAAGCACUUUUGUUUAAUUAGGUCCCACUUGUCAAUUUUUGCAUUUGUUGCAAUUGCUUUUGAGGAUAUAGUCGUAAAUUCUUUGCCAGUGCUGAUGUCCAGAACGUUGUUUUCUAGGUUUUCUUCUAGGAUUCUUAUAUUCUGAGGUCUUACAUGUGAAUCUUUAAUCCAUAGUGGUUACUUUUUGUAUAUGGUGAAAGGUAGGGGUCCAGUUUCAGUCUUCAGUAUAUGGCUAGCCAGAUAUCUCAGGAACAUUUAUUGACUAGGGAGUCCUUUCCUCUUUGCUUAUUUUUGUCAACUUUGUUGAAGAUCAUAUGACUGUAGGUGUUCAGCUUUAUUGUUGGUUUCUCUAUUCUGUUCCAUUGGUCUGCAUGUCUGUUUUUGUGCCAGUACCAUGCUGUUUCGGUUACUGUAGCCUUAUAGUAUAAUGUGAAGUCUGGUAGCAUGAUGCCCCUGGCUUUGUUCUCUUUGCUCAGGAUUGCUUUAGCUAUUCGGGCCCUUUAUUAGUUCCAUAUAAAUUUUAGAAUAGUUUUUCCUAGUUCUGUGAAAAAUGUUGUUGAUAGCUUGAUAGGAAUAGUAUUGAAUCCAUAGAUUGCUUUGGGCAGUAUGGCCAUUUUAUCAAUAUUGAUUCUUCAAAUUAAUGAGCAUGGAAAGUUUUUCCAUUUGUUUGUGUCAUCUCUGAUUUCUUUCAGCAGUGUUUUGUAGUUCUUGUAGAGAUCUUUUACCUUCAUGGUUAGAUGUAUUCUUACAUAUUUAUUUAUUUGUUUUUGACUAUUGUAAAUGGGAUUGCUUGCUUUAUUGGGUUUUCAGCUUGUUAUUGUUAAAUAGAAAUGCUACUUAUUUUGUACAUUUGUAUUAUAUCCUUAAACUAUAUCAAAAGCAUUUAUUAGUUCGGGAUUCUUUUGGUGGAGUCCUUAGGAUUUUCUAGGUGUAGAAUCAUAUAGUUUGACUUCUUCUUUUCUUAUUUGGAUGCCUAUUAUUUCUUUCUCUUGCCUGAUCAUUCUGGCUUGGACUUCUUGUUAUAUCAAUUUUAUCUGAAGUUUUAAAACAAUUUAUUAGAGACAGAAAUAAACAUAUCUACAACAUUAGUAAUAAUUGCAGACCAGGGGUUACGGACCAUGAGAAUAGUCAUUUGAAACUUUUUGUUGUUGUUGUUGUUGUCACUAACUGGCUUUUUCUCAUCCAUGCUCAGGAUAUGCAUUGAGGACUCUUCAUCUAAUAGCCCUGACCCACGCAGAACCUGCUCCCAAGAAUCAAGCUCAGGCUUUUUGGCCACUCAGGUUCCAAGAAAAGCAGCCUUAUGGACUCUCUCAAGUGUGGGCUGCUGAGGAGCUUUCUCAAAAGGUGAGGUCCUGACUCUCCUCUCUCUCCCAACUACAGCAGAUUCCCAUCUUUGCACCUGGCUCUAAGCUUGCAGGUGGAGCCCAGAUGCUGGCACCUGUCUCUCCAGGAUGUCUUGGCUUCUACACUGUCUCCCAUCAAGGUCUAGGAGGAGGAAGGGUUUUGCAUCAGUCCUUGGCCUAUGGCUGACACAGUGGCUUUGGUGGCUUUCAACUGUGGUCUAGGCUGGCUGGUGACCCUGUGUGCACCCCUUGUUUUCCAGCAAUGGCAAACUGCCCCAGCAAUAGCAAAAGAAGGGCUCCACUGAAAUCACAGCCACAGACACAAUGGUCCAUCAUCGUCACUGUGCCUGUUGCAGAAUUGCCUCAUGUUCUACUCAGGCUCUGCCCUUAAAAACAAAGCUUGGACUCACACAGUUCCAAGCAUAGCACAGAUCAAAUACUGGCAUCAGGAGGAAUCCUCCCCUCUUAUACCUUCUUCCUGGAAUGCUGCAGGGUGUUGCAGAAAAGGAAAAUGCAGUGGAAAGGCUGGAGAGAGAAGGCCAAGGCUGGGAGGUACACGAUGCCCUGUGCAAGGGCUCCCUUGAGUUCUUUCUGGCCUGCAGCCUCCAUAAGCAUAAAAAACCUAUACCCAGACUGUGAGAACAUAGUGUGAGGAACUGCAGCGUCAUGUUGGAGCUGGGCCUCCCCAGAGCCGUGCUGGAGGUGUUUGUGGCCCUGUCCUCCAACUGGAGAGAUGGCCUGGGCAUGAGGCCAGCAGGCCCUCCUCACCUGGGUAGUAAAGUCAGCCAGGUAGCAGGAUCCGCCUCCUGAAAUAAUUCAUUCUCUGCCCCCAGCCUUUGGUGACAAGCUGAAGAACCCACUCCAAGUUGUCCUGCUGGCUUCCAUGCGGACAUCAUGAAUGUUCCUGAACCAGCUGGAGGCGAGUUUGGAUAUGACAGAGAUACAUCAUUGCUGAAAGGGAUCAGGAGUAGGUGAGGGUCAGGU
rnacentral:lncRNA from 10 species